rnacentral:lncRNA from 1 species
UAUCUUUAAAGUGAAGAGCCGCAUGGAUAUGAUAUCAGUUGCAAUGCAGUUUUAAGAAGACGACAAUGGUAAGUAAAUGAAAUUUUAUCUAAAAACUCUAUUCUCUCUUUUCCCUCUAUUAUUGAAGUAGCCGCCUCUAUAAUUUAAGGGGCUUUCAUCGGCUUUUAGUGUUGGAAAACUCCAAUCUUUUCUUCUUUUUAGCAGCCUUUGUUCAUCUUUUGUUUUUGUUCAAUAAAUUUCCAAUUUAUUUACGUUUUGUUUAGUGUCUCCUUGUGUGAGAGUUUGAUUUUGAUUUUCUUUAUUGUUCGUCACGUGAGAGAUUCUAGAUCUACAAGAUUUUGAUGGUGUUGAUUCGGUGAUGAAAGUUAUUAUGAUGGUACAUUUAUGGUCAGAUUGCUUAAAACAACAGUUGGAGGAUUACAAUAUGUAUGUAUAUCUUCAAGAAAUCGUUUAGUUGCCUAUCCAAGAUGGAAGGAUUCAACAACGAUAUUAUUAUGUGUUUGUUCAAUUUCGAUCAUAUAUGUAGAUGCCGUAUGACUUUUUAUUAUUGAAUGAAUAUCCUUGUUAAAAAAAAAGACAAAAAUAGUGAGCUCCAUAUUAGACCGCUUAAUUAUAAAUGACAGCUUUAUUCUCUAUUUUUUU